rnacentral:rRNA from 1 species
UACGUAGGGUGCGAGCGUUGUCCGGAAUUACUGGGCGUAAAGAGCUCGUAGGUGGUUUGUCGCGUUGUUCGUGAAAUCUCACGGCUUAACUGUGAGCGUGCGGGCGAUACGGGCAGACUGGAGUACUGCAGGGGAGACUGGAAUUCCUGGUGUAGCGGUGGAAUGCGCAGAUAUCAGGAGGAACACCGGUGGCGAAGGCGGGUCUCUGGGCAGUAACUGACGCUGAGGAACGAAAGCGUGGGGAGCGAACAGG